GACGAACGCUGGCGGCGUGCUUAACACAUGCAAGUCGAACGGAAAAGCCGCCUCUUGCGCUGCUCGAUCGGCGACCGGCUGAGUAACACGAGGUUAACCAACCCUCCCCGAUGCGGUAACUUCAGCUGGCUGCGGCUACUACCACUUAAUACCUGCUGCUGCGGGGUCUUCAUUGGCUGGAUACAUCGGCGGGCGGGGAUGGACUCGCGGCUUAUCAGCUUGUUGGUGGGGUAGCGGCUCACCAAGGCGUCGACGGGUAGCCGGCCUGAGAGGGUGACCGGCCACAUUGGGACUGAGAUACGGCCCAGACUCCUACGGGAGGCAGCAGUGGGGAAUAUUGCACAAUGGGCGGAAGCCUGAUGCAGCAACGCCGCGUGCGGGAUGACGGCCUUCGGGUUGUAAACCGCUUUCGCCUGGGAAGAAGCGAGAGUGACGGUAAUGGGUAAAGAAGCACCGGCUAACUACGUG
rnacentral:rRNA from 1 species